GCAGAUCGGACCUCGGGAAGUGCUUCAUUUAUCAGAAGCAGAAUACAAUGUUGUAGGCGUAAGCAAUAUUGGAGAUAGGGUUCGACUCGCCAGUUUAUAAGUGGAGAAGCUGAGUCGCCAGUACUGACAAAAGUGAAAGAAUUCCAACAGAAGCGAAAAAGAAAGAAACUCAGCUUUAGUCUAACAACAAUAAAUAACCAUAAACCCAGCAAAACAAGACGUGUGACUGUUGGCUGGAAACACAAGACAAGUGACACGUAUCAUUUGGUUGAUCCAAAAAAGGGUGGUGGCAAGCAAGUUAUCGAUAUGGACAAAUGUCUAUCAAUAGAUGAAGCAA
rnacentral:lncRNA from 1 species